GACAGAGGAGCCAAGCGUUGUCCGGACUGUCUGGGCGUAAAGCGCACGCAGGCGGCGCUGCGCGUGGGGUGUGAAAGCUCUUGGCUUAACUGAGAGAGGCCAUCCCAUACGGCAGUGCUCGAGCGGUGCAGAGGUCCGCGGAAUUGCCGGUGUAGUGGUGAAAUGCGUAGAGAUCGGCAGGAACACCCAGGGGGAAACCAGCGGACUGGGCAUCAGCUGACGCUCAGGUGCGACAGCGUGGGGAGCGAACCGG
rnacentral:rRNA from 1 species